rnacentral:tRNA from 1 species
GGCGCAGCUCGAGGAUGUGCUCGGCCAUCUUGCGCGUGGUCUGGGGCGGGGAGGUCGACUCCAGGAUGAUCAGCUCGUCCCCGUGCAGC